rnacentral:rRNA from 1 species
UACAGAGGGUGCGAGCGUUAAUCGGAAUUACUGGGCGUAAAGCGUGCGUAGACGGUUAUUUAAGUCGGGUGUGAAACCUCCAGGCUCAACCUGGAGACGCCACCUGAUACUGCUGUGGCUGGAGUCCGGUAGGGGAGCGUGGAAUUCCUGGUGUAGCGGUGGAAUGCGCAGAUAUCAGGAGGAACACCGAUAGCGAAGGCAGCUCGCUGGGACGGUACUGACGCUGAGGCGCGAAAGCGUGGGGAGCAAACAGG